rnacentral:lncRNA from 1 species
GCGCGGAGCCGCGCGGAGUGACAAAGCCGCCGCUGCCGCCGCCGGGGGUGGGAGCCGCGCUCGCCCGCCCGCCCCUCGACUCGCGAGGGCGUAAAAGUUUGUCUCAGCUCGAGCAUUCCUAGCGCCAACACGCCCUCAGGUAAAGGUGGAAGUAAAUGGCCACGCUGUAUUGACAGAGUCAGAGGCAGGGAGUCGAGGGCAGAGGCAGCAGGCGGAGAGAGGGAGAUAGGGCGAGGGAAGGAGAACGCGGAGAGAGACGAAGGGAGUGGGAGACCAGCGACAGCGAGCGCCAGGGCACCGCAGGCACACUGGAUGCCCAGUCCGCCGGCCCAGCCGCCCUCGGACCCUGGACCGUGCGUCGUGGGCACCAGAAACGAGACUCGGCCAAAUCCUGCCUCACCAGCAGGUAGAUGAAACUCAAGAGAAAAGGUGUGGAUAAAUGAAACUAGCCCAUGAUGAACCUGUUUUCUCCGUGACCACAAUAUUAACCAGGAUGAAUGGCGGUGGCAGUGGGCCUGCAUCACAGGUUGCAGCAGAUGUUCUCAAUAUUUCUAUUAAAAUUUCCUUAUUUCCAUAUGCAAGAGGAGCCCCAGAGCUGCAUCCUUAUGGUAGCUACCAUGCCGUGAUGUAAGCUGCCAUUCACUGGGGAGCUUUGGCAAUAGAAUUGGCUAGAUCAGGAAGCCUAUGUCAACUAUGGAACAACAACUUGCAGCUCAUCUCUAUUGAUGAUACACUGCCUCUAGGACUGGGACAGAUAGCCACUGAGUACCUGCUUCAAAUCACCCUGCACGUUUUCUCUUUGGAAAGAUAAGCACUGGAGAACCAUCUCGUUACCUUCAGCAGAAAUGGAAACAAAUCAAGACAUUAAGAAUGCCGCAGUGGACAGCAGUUAUGCAAGGUUCAGCAGAGGAAGUUUUCAAGAUGGUGUGCCUCACUAGCCAGAAAUCAGAAAAGAUCGAAGCUAGCCUUUUCAUCUCAGCUGCUCCUUAAAUCAGUGCAACCCCUCCAAAUUAAUGUGAAUUGAAACUUGCAUUGCUUUUCAACUUAAUUGAAUACUUACUAUAUGUGAACCACUGCACAAAAUAGGGGAAGAAGAUGUGGGAGACAAAGAUGUGGAGCCUGUCUUCAAUAAAUUUACAGUUAGUUUCAGGGUACAUUGUUUUUCUUCUGCUGUUAAUUAGGUGUAUCCCCAAGACAAUAAAUACAUGAAUGGAAAAGUAUAUUCUGUGUUUUAAGUCUCUUUAAUAAAAAACAAAACAAAAUCCAAAAAAACUCCUAACAUGGCAACUCAGGACAUUUUAAUCCUUUUUUUUGUUGUUGGGCUUCUGAUAGGAUCCAUUUUAUUGAUUCCAUAAAUAUUUAGUAGACUUUAGACAUAUUAAUACAUUGUAGUUUGAGUUAAUUUGCAUUAAAUUCUGUUUUUUUCCCCUUAGGUAUAGAUUGUCUGUUGGAAAAAUAUAUUGCUUGUGGAUUUCUUGGGGAGUGGGAAGGUGAAUUAUACCUGUUGUCUCUACAGUCCACUACCUUCCACACCCUAGGGCAGUGGUCCCCAACCUUCUUGGCACCAGGGAUCAGUUUCCUGGAAGACAAUUUUUCUGUGGAUGGUGUGGGGAUGGUUUUGGGAUGGAACUGUUCCACCUCAGAUCAUCAGGCAUUAGUUAGGCUCUCAUAACGAGUGCGCAGCCUAGAUCCCUCACAUGCACAGUUCACAGUAGGGUUUGCGCUGCUAUGAGAAUCUAAGGCUGCCACUGAUCUGACAGGAGGCAGAACUCAGGUGGCAAUGCUUACUGGCCCACUGCUCACCUCUUGCUGUGCGGCCUGGUUCCUAAUAGGCCAUGGACCCCCACAGACGGGUACUAGUCUGCAGCCUGUGGACCCCAGCCCUAGGGGCCUGCCAUUCUGAGUGAGUUAUUAGCAUGAAGAAGAGGAAGAUCUGGAUCAAACGUGGGUGAUGGUACUCAGAGACCCAAGAUAGGAUAGGGAUGGAACAAAAUCCAUCUGGGCAACGGCUCUAUGAAAAUUUGGCUAAGUAAUUAUUUCAGUAUUCAUUGUAUUCAUUGUCCUUCGUGUUCCAUAAGUUAAAUGACUGUCUAAUUUUUCCAAAAAUUUAUUUCUGACUUGAGAAUAAGUGUGUCAUGAUUUUCCCAGUGUAAAGACACUGAUAUAACUGUAGAUACCAGACAUUUUAUGUAGUGUCUAUGACACAUUUUAGUAUGUAUGAGCCAACAAUAGACAUGUCUUUGUCUUGAGGAGUGUCCAUCUGAAUUGAAAAUGUGUCAGCUUUUUUUUAACAUCAUCAACAGACUUCUUAAUUAAGCUGCCAAUACAUACUGCCAAUAGCACUGUGUGCUGUCUGAGAAAUGCAUUGUGUAAGUGCUAUUUCCAUCUUAUUAAAUAAACAAUGUUGCUCUGUAUAAACUGGAUUUAAAGUGUUCUUUGAAUGAGGCAUUAUAUUGCUCCAUAAAUAAUGUGAUGUGAAUUCUCAUAUGAUCCCUUUUAACUUAAUUUCUAAAAAAAUAUUAUUUGCUCCUCAGUAAGGAAUAGCUCUAAUUGGACUGGUAACUUUAGUGAUAUGAUUUGUCUGUAACAGGCUGAAUCGCCCCACUCCCAAACUCCUGGUCGUGAUACUGGAUAUUUGUUAUGCCACUUUUAGUUUGCAUGAGGUAUCUUCCAGGAAGUAUUAGUUAUUAACUUGUGUUCUACUAAACUGUAGAUAUUUAUUUCCUGUUCUGGAAGAUUUCUUGGAGUGUCCAUCUGUGCAUUCCUGGUGCCUAGUGUAGUCUUGCUAAUGGAAUAGCACCUUUAUUGGUGCUACUUAGGGGUUGGUAGCUUACAAUCAAUCUACUUGGAACGUAUCCAAAUAAACUGGAUAUUUUUAUAC